GCGCGGCGCCCUCGCUCCACAGCGCCCCGUGGCGGCCGGGGCUGGCGGCGGAAACCCUGCGCUCCGGGCUGCUGUGGGGCAGCCAGGGACCCCUGGCCCGUGCCGGAUGAUUUUUCCAGAUGCAGCGGAUAAGGCGUAAAAGAUCUGAGCCACCUCCUUCGAGCCGGAAUCGAACCAGCGACCUAAGGAUAUCCACAGCUCUCCGUCUACAGUCCUCCGCUCUACCAGCUGAGCUAUCGAAGGGCGCUCGGCUUCCUCCAUGCGUCAUCGGCCUUUCAUAGUGGGAGGUACUCAAGACGCCAAGACUCGAGGCUGUUCUGACCUCGUGGAGAGCCUGCUGCAGAGCUGCGCCUGGCUCCACCGCUCCCCUCCCUGGCGGCGGAUGCAAAUUCUCCGCGUGUGGCUGCUGCCUGGCCUGGCAGUGAGCCUGCAGCCCUACUAUGAAACGUGUCCAGUUUCAGGUUAUAAAUAAAUUUAUCCACUCCAAAACCUUCCUUUCACCCUCUCCUAUCCUCCCUCUCUCCCCCCCAAAACUAUCCACCCCUGAUUUGCCUUUUGGAUUUCUCAGCCCCAAACCAUAACUCUAGGAUCAUCAGAGGAAGGUAAAGAAAUUAUCUUAACAUCCUUCCCAGUAGGCAUACCUGUGCCUGCCCCCUCCAACAACAAUUCUUAAUCCGAGCACUAAAGGGAAUCUUUAAAGAAACUACCCGCUCUCAAAGCAGUUUUUGGGAUCUAGACGAUCUUCAGAGAAGUAACAGUUUCAUUAAGUCCAGGGUUAUAGAAAUUUCUGCUUGGCACACAGUAAAACCUCAAAUUCAAUAUUAUUGGGCUUCAUGCAUUUGUUUCCCACUUAAAUUGAAUAUUAAAUGGAGUUGGAGACACUCAGGAGAAUAGAGCCUAAGAAUAAUCCAGGCAAAGAGUUAAGUUUGAACUAAUAAACAAAGGGAGUCAAAGAGGCAGUUUAUGACAUAGAAAUUGCUUUACCUUCCCAUGUGAGGAAAUGAGGAAUUCAGGUGCAAACAUGGGAAAUGUCAUAUCCUGAAGAAAAAAAAAAAAUCAGAUGUUAAGUGUUAGAGCUGAAAGCUAAUGCUUCUACUGAUGUGAGGGCUAGAUGAUAAAAACAGUAGUAGGUGGUCCAGGAGGUGGCACAGUGGAUAAAGCACUGAACUCUUGAGCAUGAGGUUCUGAGUUUGAUCCCUGGCAGCACAUGUACCAGAAUUAUGUUUGAUUCUUUCUAUCUCUGGCUCCUUCUAUUCCUCUCAUUAACAAACAAAUAAUAUAUAUAUUUAAAAAAAACAG